rnacentral:sRNA from 1 species
AAAAAUAAAUAAAUAAAUAAAAAUUAAAAAAAAACUCUCCCCCCAAAAAUAAAAAAAAAAAGAUUAAUAUGGAGGGAGUUGUAAAAUUAAAGAAGGUACAUGGGUGCAUGUGUGCUUGUGUGUGUGUCUGUCUGUCUAACAACAGCAGAAGCAGGCAAGGGCUACUGUGGUGGUCAUUCUUGUUCCUCUCCCCAUUUUGCUUCACAGUUUACAAGCUCUUCCACUUUCUCUCUGAGGCAGAAAGAGCAAGGGUUUUUCUCUCCAUUUUAUGGUUGGGAAAAUUGAGGCCUGCCUGAGUGUGUGAUUUGCGGCAAGUUACUCUGGUCAUCUAGGGCAGAGGCUCCCCAGAGCCCAGGCCUCCUGCCUCCAGUCCCCAGCCCACAACCCAGGAUUAGGCAGAGCCAGCUGCUUUCCCGUGGCUGCCCUGACUCCUUACAGGGAUCACUGAGAUUCUGAUGAACAGACCUUCUGCCCGCAAUGCCUUGGGGAAUGUCUUCGUCAGUGAGGUAAGAAAGGGCGGGCGCCAGGGUGGGCUGGGGAUGGGCUGGCACUAUCUAACUGGGUGUCCUCUGUAGCUGCUGGAAACUCUGGCCCAGCUGCGGGAGGACCAGCAAGUGCGUGUCUUGCUC